UGCAACGAUAUUAGUACACCAAAGAUUUCUACGUACGAGCAGUCAUGUAUGGAAAAAUGAAGUGCGUUGGCUUUGCGCUCACGAUGCUCCUCUGGUCGGUGUUCUACGUUGUCGGCAACGAAGCGGUUCGGGUCCGCAGGAAUCCACAGCUGAUCCCGUUCCCGCGUGUCGGCUAGUCCAUGCGUCCACAGUAAUUGGAACAAUUACAAAAUAAAACGUAGGAGAAAAUAAUUGGUAACUUCUGAAGCAAUAAAUUCCGCAUAUUGAAAUCUAUAUUUUCGGCGUUUUCUCGUCGGGAUCUACGUGAACAGUCAACAAAAAGUCAAUAAAUUUUGGUUUCCUAAACCGAAGGUUUAAUCGGAAUUUGUUUAACAACGGCGCCAUUGUCAAUAUCCAAUUCCUCCGUGAUGUCCUGAAUCCAACGACCUCCAACUGGUAUAGUUAUAAUUACAUUAUAGUUACAUUAUAGAUACAUAACCAUUCCACGUCCAUUCUAACCUUGCCAAAUGUUCUGCGAACCGAGCGCACGAAUAAAAAAAAAAUUCACUGACCGCAACACGUUGCCACGUGUCGCGAUAUCUUCGAAGUGAUAUUCGCAUUUUAUACACAGAACGACAGCAUGAGUUGUCUCUACGAUUUUUAUUUUUUCUCGCGUUCUUUAUGGCUGUCCUAUCGCCGAAAGGAAAUAAUUACGUUGUGAAAUUUAGCAUUCGGAAAAAUUACUGCGGCUGAUAAAAGAAAAACAAAAAAUGCAUAAACUUUAACCGACUUCGAGCCGAGUGCUCACGAUAUAUUUAUCCAGCUUGAUAAUUCGGUCACGAACGACACGUUUCGUUUAGUAUAUAAAGCAGCGACCGGUGAAUCACGGCGUGUCCAUUCAGUCGAAUCUUCCGCAGAACAGUGUUGCAACGAUGGCAGCGAAACUAUUUGUGAUUGUUGUAUUCGCGUUGCUGGCAUCGGCGUUUAAUUUCGUGAGCAUCGAAGCCAGGCCGGAUGGAAAAUUGGAGGAUAAUUUCCUACGCUUCGGAUAACUGUGCAACGUGUGCUCGGAUACAAUCAUUGUCUAACGAACAUCCUAUCGACAUCAUAAUCGAAGGAAUUAAAAAUGUAGUUUAUAUGCUUAUAAUUUUCUAUUAAAAUUUUCUCCGAGCCUU